rnacentral:rRNA from 1 species
AAGCAUAUCAAUAAGCGGAGGAAAAGAAACCAACAGGGAUUGCCCUAGUAACGGCGAGUGAAGCGGCAACAGCUCAAAUUUGAAAUCUGGCCCUUUCAGGGUCCGAGUUGUAAUUUGUAGAGGGCGCUUUGGUGUUGGCUGCGGUCUAAGUUCCUUGGAACAGGACGUCACAGAGGGUGAGAAUCCCGUACGUGGUCGACAGUCUUCACCGUGUAAAGCCCCUUCGACGAGUCGAGUUGUUUGGGAAUGCAGCUCUAAAUGGGAGGUAAAUUUCUUCUAAAGCUAAAUAUUGGCCAGAGACCGAUAGCGCACAAGUAGAGUGAUCGAAAGAUGAAAAGCACUUUGGAAAGAGAGUCAAAAAGCACGUGAAAUUGUUGAAAGGGAAGCGCUUGCAAUCAGACUUGCCUGUAGUUGCUCAUCUGGACUUUUGUCCGGUGCACUCUUCUGCGGGCAGGCCAGCAUCAGUUCAGGCGGCUGGAUAAAGGCCUCUAUCACGUAUCUUCCUUCGGGAUGACCUUAUAGGGGAGGUGUAAUGCAGCCAGCCUGGAUUGAGGUCCGCGCAUCUGCUAGGAUGCUGGCGUAAUGAUUGUAAGCGGCCCGUCUUGAAACACGGACCAAGGAGUCUAACAUCUAUGCGAGUGUUUGGGUGUCAAGCCCGGACGCGCAAUGAAAGUGAACGGAGGUGGGAACCCUUACGGGUGCACCAUCGACCGAUCCUGAUGUCUUCGGAUGGAUUUGAGUAAGAGCAUAGCUGUUGGGACCCGAAAGAUGGUGAACUAUGCCUGAAUAGGGUGAAGCCAGAGGAAACUCUGGUGGAGGCUCGCAGCGGUUCUGACGUGCAAAUCGAUCGUCAAAUUUGGGCAUAGGGGCGAAAGACUAAUCGAACUAUCUAGUAGCUGGUUCCUGCCGAAGUUUCCCUCAGGAUAGCAGUAACGUUUUCAGUUUUAUGAGGUAAAGCGAAUGAUUAGAGGCCUGGGGGUU